rnacentral:snRNA from 1 species
CGAAUACGAACCGUGAAA